rnacentral:lncRNA from 1 species
UCAGAAAAUGGAAGAUGAUAAGAACAACACGGUGAUUGUCCAUUUUCGUGCUUUGGAGAGACCCAAAGAAGAUGAAUUCUGCUUAGAGCUGUGAGUGUUCUUCUUGAUCUUAUUUUUCUGGACUGUUGAAGACUGUACUUUACUGAUUGUAUGCUUGUUCCCUUUAUCAUAAUUUUCUGAGCAAGUUUAGGUUGAUUUAUCUAACCAAUUUGGGCAAAAUUUCCGGAGCAGAGAACCACACAUAUUUUGAUGUCGUGGAAAGGGUAGCUCAACACCUUGAGUUGGAUGAUAUAACUAAAAUUCAGCUUACUCCUCAAGAUUACUAUUCUCAGAAACCAAAGCCCAAUCCUAUUAAAUAUAGAUCAGUUGAUCGCCUACUAGACAUGCUUGUCAACUACAAUCAGGUAGCUCCAACACACCGUCUUUUACUCUGUUUUAUUGUAGCGGCACAGUAUUCAGAUGUUGAUGGAUCAAUAAUUGUUUGCUUUCUUUCUAAUAGAGCUCUAAUAUUCUGUAUUAUGAAGUAAUGGACAAUCCUCUACCAGCAUUUAGAGUUAUGUCACAGUCAAUUAAGGAGGGCCAUAUCAAAAUAAAAUGCCUUAUUUUUCUGACAGAGCAAAUGGAAAGUGACAAUCAGAAAAUGGAAGAUGAUAAGAACAACACGGUGAUUGUCCAUUUUCGUGCUUUGGAGAGACCCAAAGAAGAUGAAUUCUGCUUAGAGCUGUGAGUGUUCUUCUUGAUCUUAUUUUUCUGGACUGUUGAAGACUGUACUUUACUGAUUGUAUGCUUGUUCCCUUUAUCAUAAUUUUCUGAGCAAGUUUAGGUUGAUUUAUCUAACCAAUUUGGGCAAAAUUUCCGGAGCAGAGAACCACACAUAUUUUGAUGUCGUGGAAAGGGUAGCUCAACACCUUGAGUUGGAUGAUAUAACUAAAAUUCAGCUUACUCCUCAAGAUUACUAUUCUCAGAAACCAAAGCCCAAUCCUAUUAAAUAUAGAUCAGUUGAUCGCCUACUAGACAUGCUUGUCAACUACAAUCAGGUAGCUCCAACACACCGUCUUUUACUCUGUUUUAUUGUAGCGGCACAGUAUUCAGAUGUUGAU